rnacentral:rRNA from 1 species
CUGGCCUACGGGACGCAGCAGUGAGGAAUAUUGGUCAAUGGGCGAGAGCCUGAAAGAGCCAAGUCGCGUGAGGGAGUACUGCCCUAUGGGUUGUAAACCUCUUUUGUCGGGGAGCAAAAGCCGGACGUGUCCGUCUGUGAGAGUACCCGAAGAAAAAGCAUCGGCUAACUCCGUGCCAGCAGCCGCGGUAAUACGGAGGAUGCGAGCGUUAUCCGGAUUUAUUGGGUUUAAAGGGUGCGCAGGCGGAUUUUUAAGUCAGCGGUCAAAUCGUGGGGCUCAACCCCAUCCAGCAGUUGAAACGGGGG